rnacentral:rRNA from 1 species
CAGCCGCCGCGGUAAUACAGAGGGUGCGAGCGUUAAUCGGAUUUACUGGGCGUAAAGCGUGCGUAGGCGGCUAAUUGAGUCGGAUGUGAAAUCCCCGAGCUUAACUUAGGAAUUGCAUUCGAUACUGGGAAGCUAGAGUAUGGGAGAGGAUGGUAGAAUUCCAGGUGUAGCGGUGAAAUGCGUAGAGAUCUGGAGGAAUACCGAUGGCGAAGGCAGCCAUCUGGCCUAAUACUGACGCUGAGGUACGAAAGCAUGGGGAGCAAACAGGAUUAGAUACCCGAGUAGUCCCUGUCUCUUAUAC